rnacentral:rRNA from 1 species
AACGAACGUUAGCGGCGCGCCUAACACAUGCAAGUCGAACGCGACAGGGGCAACUCUGUUGAGUGGCGCACGGGUGAGUAACACGUAGGUAAUCUCCCCCCGAGUGGUGGAUAACCUUCCGAAAGGAGGGCUAAUACAGCAUAAGACCACGGCUUCGAAAGAAGCUGAGGUCAAAGCGGAGGAUCGCAAGACUUCGCGCUUGGGGAUGAGCCUGCGGCCCAUCAGGUAGUUGGCGGGGUAACAGCCCACCAAGCCUAAGACGGGUAGCUGGUCUGAGAGGAUGAUCAGCCACACUGGAACUGAGACACGGUCCAGACUCCUACGGGAGGCAGCAGUGGGGAAUCUUGCGCAAUGGACGAAAGUCUGACGCAGCGACGCCGCGUGGGUGAUGAAGGCCUUCGGGUUGUAAAGCCCUGUGGGGAGGGACGAAUAAGUUGCAGCUAAUACCUGCAGCGAUGACGGUACCUCCUUAGCAAGCACCGGCUAACUCUGUGCCAGCCGCCGCCGUAAGAC